AUAAAGGCACAGAUGGAGAAAAAUGUAUCUCAUCUUAUUUAUAAGAGAGCCAGAAAAGGUGAAAGCUGGUAUUAAGAGGAUAUAAUAUAUUCACUCCUAAGCUGAUUUGUUGAAAAUUCAAGAGUAGACAGAUACGAAAACCCAUCGUUAUCAGGGAUAAGACUAUUAGGUCUGAUUUAAGUGAUGACUCUUUUGUCAUAACUAGGGUGGUACCGCGGAGAUAAUCUUUCGUCCCUAUA
rnacentral:ncRNA from 1 species